rnacentral:rRNA from 1 species
GACGUAGGUGGCGAACGUUAUCCGGAAUUAUUGGGCGUAAAGGGUGCGUAGGCGGCAUAAUAAGUUAUUGGCGGGAAAUCGAGGCUCAACCUCGUGGAAACUGAUAAUACUGUUUUGCUUGAGUACAGGAGAGGUUAACGGAACUCCAUGUGGAGCGGUAAAAUGUGUAGAUAUAUGGAAGAACAUCAAUAACGGCGAAGGCAGUUAACUAUUCUAUUCCUGACAUUGAGGCAUGAAAGCGUGGGGAGCAAAACGG